UACAGAGGGUGCAAGCGUUAAUCGGAAUUACUGGGCGUAAAGCGCGCGUAGGUGGUUUGUUAAGUUGGAUGUGAAAUCCCCGGGCUCAACCUGGGAACUGCAUCCAAAACUGACAAGCUAGAGUAUGGUAGAGGGUGGUGGAAUUUCCUGUGUAGCGGUGAAAUGCGUAGAUAUAGGAAGGAACACCAGUGGCGAAGGCGACCACCUGGACUGAUACUGACACUGAGGUGCGAAAGCGUGGGGAGCAAACAGG
rnacentral:rRNA from 1 species